rnacentral:rRNA from 1 species
CUACGGGAUGCAGCAGUGGGGAAUAUUGCACAAUGGGCGCAAGCCUGAUGCAGCCAUGCCGCGUGUAUGAAGAAGGCCUUCGAGUUGUAAAGUACUUUCAGCGGGGAGGAAGGGAGUAAAGUUAAUACCUUUGCUCAUUGACGUUACCCGCAGAAGAAGCACCGGCUAACUCCGUGCCAGCAGCCGCGGUAAUACGGAGGGUGCAAGCGUUAAUCGGAAUUACUGGGCGUAAAGCGCACGCAGGCGGUUUGUUAAGUCAGAUGUGAAAUCCCCGGGCUCAACCUGGGAACUGCAUCUGAUACUGGCAAGCUUGAGUCUCGUAGAGGGGGGUAGAAUUCCAGGUGUAGCGGUGAAAUGCGUAGAGAUCUGGAGGGAUACCGGUGGCGAAGGCGGCCCCCUGGACGAAGACUGACGCUCAGGUGCGAAAGCGUGGGGAGCAAACAGGAUUAGAUACCCGAGUAGUC